AAAUGACGGAGUUUUACUUUCAGAUACUGCUGGUGAAUUGGAGAUUCAUAAUUCAAUUGAGACGACAUUCCAGAAUCAUCUGCUACAAAAAGCUAUUCUCAUUUAUCGAUUCAACUGGGCAAUGCUCCAUUCUAUUAUCAAUCACAGUUCCAGUUGUAAAAUAUCCCAUUUGUUUUAAGUUGGUAAGUAACCAGAAAUACAAUUUAGAGCCGUUAUUUGUUGGGAGUCCUCGUCCUAGGAACUAUUUGAAGGGUGGUGGCAAUUUUCAAAAUAACAUUAUGCAAUAUCAGAAUCAAACAAUACCCAUUAAUAAUA